GAUGAACGCUAGCGACAGGCCUAACACAUGCAAGUCGAGGGGCAUCGGGACGUAGCAAUACGUUGCCGGCGACCGGCGGAUGGGUGAGUAACGCGUAUGCAACCUACCCGUAGCAGGGGGAUAGCCCGUUGAAAGACGGAUUAAUACCCCGUAACACAGGGGCUCCGCAUGGAGAUUAUUGUUAAAGGGUCAUUUCUUUUAGAGGUGGUCCGGCUACGGAUGGGCAUGCGUUCCAUUAGGUAGUUGGUGUAGGUAACUGCUCACCAAGCCGACGAUGGAUAGGGGAACUGAGAGGUUGGUCCCCCACACUGGUACUGAGACACGGACCAGACUCCUACGGGAGGCAGCAGUGAGGAAUUUUGGUCAAUGGACGCAAGUCUGAACCAGCCAUGUCGCGUGAAGGAGGACGGCCCUAAGGGUUGUAAACUUCUUUUGCAGUGGAAUAAAGUUUGCCACGUGUUGGCGAUUUGCAAGUACGCUGCGAAUAAGGAUCGGCUAACUCCGUG
rnacentral:rRNA from 1 species